rnacentral:rRNA from 1 species
AUGCCACUCGACAUCUGGCACGCCAUGCAGGGGGCGCUCGUGCAGAUCUACAUCAAUAAAGCUGCCGACGUCUCUCUUGACGCUAGAUCCAUCUUCAUCGUCAUCAGCUUCUUCAUCGUGAGCGAAAGGAGGGCGCCCCGCCUUGCAUUCGAAAGGACCCCACAUUUGGCAACCCCAGGACUGUGCGGUUCACCCCCGAAGGCAGGGAGGCGGUGCCCCCGAGUGACUGCCGCCAAGAUCCCUCGUUGGGGAAAAGAUCUCACAGUGGCUCGCCCUACCUACAUUUCACUUCAAUACCUUAAGAAGAAGCCAGGCGAGCAACUUCGGGAGCACAUGUGGCGCUUUCGUCAAGUGGAGGACGAGAUUGAAGGACUGCCCACUGCCUCCAUCAUCACGGCCUUCUACCUCAACAUAUGUAGUGCCCGGGUCCGCGGGGCGAUGGUGGCUCAUUGGGCGCACACCGUAGUGGAGAUUUAUGCUCUUACUCACGAGUGCGCCCGGACAGAGGAAGCUAGCAACCUUUGGGGAGCUAGCGGACACCAGCUUGCUGUCUCGAGACCCGGGGCCAUGCUGCAGCCAACGUUCAUGGAUCCAGGGCUGUUGGUAAGGCCGGCCAAGCAGAAGAACUCCUUCAUCAUCAAGAUAGGGCGGGCCGACGAUGGGUCUCACACUGUUAGUGCGGACCUUGCCCUGGUCAACGCCUAA